GUGAGGAAUUUUCCGCAAUGGUCGAAAGCCUGACGGAGCAAUGCCGCGUGAAGGAUGAAGGCCUAUGGGUUGUAAACUUCUUUUCUCAGAAAAGAAUUAUGACGGUAUCUGAGGAAUAAGCAUCGGCUAACUCUGUGCCAGCAGCCGCGGUAAGACAGAGGAUGCAAGCGUUAUCCGGAAUGAUUGGGCGUAAAGCGUCUGUAGGUUGUUUAAAAAGUAUUCUGUCAAAGAUUAGGGCUUAACCCUAGAUAGGCAGAAUAAACUUUUAAGCUAGAGUGUGGUAGAGGCAGAGGGAAUACACGGUGGAGCAGUGAAAUGCGUAGAUAUCGGGAGGAACACCAAAGGCGAAGGCACUCUGCUGGGCAAAUACUAACACUGAGAGACGAAAGCGAGGGGAGCAAAUGGGAUUAGAUACCCGAGUAGUCC
rnacentral:rRNA from 1 species